CCAUUCUGCUGGGAUCAUCCUCUUGGACAGCUCCACGUAGACUCCGUUCUCCCGGCAGUGGGAGGGGUGCUGCCGGAGCAAGGGACAGGGUAGUCCGGCCAGGAACGCCACCACCACGGCCACACAGCCACAGCCCACCACCGCCGGCCAAAACCCGGAGUCCCUCAGGGGUGCAGCCUCCUGGGCACCUGCUGCCCCUCGUCCUUCUGGGGAGACACCAAGGCAGGGAUGGCACCACGGGGACCCCGGCCCUGCUGCAGGAGGGCCGUGGCAGCAGGUCUGAGAGCCUUCAGGCUCUCUGCAGCCCCUCAGCACGAGGGAGCAGGGGAGCAGUGGCAUCACACCUCUCUGUGUGACAGCACGCACCUCUCUGUGCCGGGGGACUGACGUGCAGCACCGUGCGGUUCUUGAAGAUGCUGCUGUUGAGCUGCAGCCGGAUCUCACACUCGUAGGUGCCGCUGUCGUUCACGUGCAGGUCCCGCAGCCGGAUGGAGCCAUCCCGGCGGGAGAGGUUCCCUUCCCACUGUGCCCGGUGCUUGAAGCGGCCCGCAGGGACCCCGCGGUUACUGUAGUAAAAAAACACCACCUCCUCCUGCCAGGGCACAGGCAGUGUCAGGUCAAGGGAGCCCAGUGGAAGGGCACUGCCCCGUGAGCCUUCCCUGCUCAAGAGCCCUCAGGUCCUGCUCUCUCCCUCUCCCCACGGAGCAAUUGCCGCUCACAGAGCGGGCUCACACCCAGAGCAGUGCUUCCCCUGCAGCCUGGGGCCACGGGGUGUCCCACCACCACACCGGCAACCUUCCUCCCCUCGUGGAACCUUCCUCCCCUCGUGGAACCUUCCUCCUCUCGUGGCCCGGGCUAGGCAGACAGGCUUCCCCACAUCCUCCCCAGAGCUGCCUCACCCACAGUCCCCUGCCACAGCCCCCGUGUCCCGCUCCACCACCCACCCCCCGAUCCCGACCCACCUGAGUGCCGGUCCCUGCCUUGUGUAUCCAGUCCACCUUGCUCACGGUCCAGCCCUUGUUCUCCAGGUCUAGGAAGUGGCACUGCAGCAGCACAGAGUCCCCAGCGCUAGCUCGAAGCUGAGGCUCUGUGAACACCCAGCCAGCCCCUCCGCUCCGCUCUGCCGGGGACAAGGACAGCAGGGUGAGUGCGGGGAGCAGGGCCAGGUGCAGCCUGCCCGUCCCCAUCGGUGUCUCCUCUCCAGGUGGGCCUGGGGCUCACGGCACCGGCCAGUCCAGAGGCAAAGCCUCUCCCUGAGCCCUGCUCCUGGCGUGCCCGGGAUGAGGGGCAGCACAUCCUCCCAGCCCAGACCAGGGGCUGCCGCGCUCGCCGGACAAGCCGCGCACAAGGGAAGUCGGGAGGCACAACCCCAGCCCUCCAACGCCUCGGAGCCAGAGCCUGCAGCUCCUGCAGGGCUGUUCCUGUGAGUCACUGGCUGGGAGAACCUGUGCAGCCCUCGUCUCUGCCAGGCCAGGGGCAAUUCGGCCGCUUCACAUGGAUUUCAGUUCCUCCUUCACAACCUGCCCAUUUGGCUGCCUUCCCCUUUGCUCACAGGCUCCAGACCUGCGCUUGUACUUGUCUGGCCACAUAACUACAGUUUGGGGUUUCUAGAGAAGCUGGACAGUGGGGAAAAAAAACCCCAAACGAGAGGAAGAUCAAAGAGCACAGAGCUGACACAACCAGCACGAAGCAGCUGCCGGCACGCUGGGCUGCAGAGCGCACAGCAGGAAGGGGAUUAAAGGUCUCUUCCAAACUAAACGAUUCUGUGAAAAAAGUGGGCCAGAAAAUGCCUCUGGAGCUCAUUGAGAGACACCCUGCAUGCUCCAGAGCCUGCACUGGUGCUAGAAGGAGAGGCUGAGGCUCUGGCAGUUCUCUGUUGAGAGCUAGGGGAGCUGAUUCAGCGAGGAGCUGCUCUGACAGGUCGGCUUGUCCUCAUGUCUGAGCCACUCUGCUCAGCCUGUCCACGAGCCACAGAGGGCUUGGCCCUGGCCAAGCACCAAGUGCUUGUCUGAUGUCCUCUAAAUAAUAAAUGCAAAGUGCUUCCCGAA